rnacentral:rRNA from 1 species
UCUGAAUCUGCGAACGGCUCCGCAAACCAGUUGUAAACCAUAGCAAGCACGCCUUGGGCCGCCGCAAGGCGGUCCUUGGCUAUAGGGAUAACCCUGGUAAUUCUGAGGCUAAUACAUGAACGUAACCCCCGGCCGACAGGCAACUGGAAGCCGGGGACCGUGCGAGUUAAGCGUAACGAUUUAUCGGAGUAGUCGCACAGUACGACCACCAUAAAAACGGUAUCCGCUUCGUCGCCUCACGGUAGCUGGCGGUGUCCGGGUGGCUCUUGCAAGGUGCUUCUGACCUAUCAACUAGAUGGCAGCGUAACGGACAUGCUAUGGU